rnacentral:lncRNA from 1 species
AAGAAUACAAGCUGAAUAAUCUCAUGCAGUGCCUUCUAAUUUAAUAUACAGAGUGAAGUAAUCCAUCUUGAUAACAACAAAAGAAGAACAAACCCAACUGUGUUAUGAUCCAUCUUUCAUCUGAACGUAUGUAGACCGCAGAAGAACAGAGUGAGUUGAUUAGUUAAAGCAGAUCUGUAAAACAUAGAGGACACAUCAUACCUCCCCAACAAGAGCCAAUGCUAUCGAAAAAUAAUCCAUAGGCUAAAAAGAUUUAAUUUAACCAAGAACUAGGAAUCAUACGCAAACCAUCAUUCCCUUCCACAACGGGAAUUGUCUCUCUUCGCUGCUCCAAUAAAGUCAUCCUUAUUGUGUUUAAGAUAGAAACUAAAGUCAAGUAACAUAGAAACACUGAAUACAAGGGUAACAAGAAUCUGUCAGAAAGGUAACAAAUCAUCCUUUUAGCAAAGAGAAAUCAGAGAAACCUAAAACCGGGAAGAAGAUUGAUCAGGAGCCAUCCAGAUUGCCUUUCUCUCUUGGAGCCUUGAUGUUCUAUACCAAAACCAAAAACAUGUUUCGCUUAAGAAAGGGAAAAAAAAAAGGACCGGCUUGUGUAAUAAGGAAUUUAAAAAAUAGGAAAAAGACAGAAGCCCUGUAGAAAGCGCGUGAAGAACGAUCAACCCAAAACAGCCAUCAUGGAACAAAGCAAGCAUCUCUCACAGCCAUCAUUGCUUCUCUCUUAGAGCCUCCAUGUUCUAUAUCAUGGAACGAAAUAACAUGGUUUUGCUUUAAGACAGGACCGCCUUGUGUUAUAAGAUUAUUUUGAAAAAAAAAAAAGGAAAAAGAGAGAAGCCUUGCUAAACCGCCAAAAAAAGAAAACGCAGACGACAAGUAGAUCACAUGGAACAAAAAGGUCCACCGAUGAAAUCUAGAAACCAAACCUAUCCAAAUUAGGUGAAAACUCCAAAAAGCUCCAACGAUGAUCGCAACAUAAAAACGUAAGGAACAAAAGAAAUUAGAGAAACCCCUGAAGACUAACGCACGCGUGGCAAGAGAAUCACGAAACACGAAACUCCAUAAUGAAUACCACCAAGUACAAGUCAAACAGAACUGCCCUUGCACCAUCCAAAUUCCUAUACAGAAAUGAGAUCAGAGGAAAGAGAAGCCAUCAUCUCAAACAGAAGCAUGUAUAGAAGAACAAGAUCAGAAAGGGAAAAGAAGAACAAACGUUUACAAAGUUGUGGUCUAAAAAGUUGAGGGCUUACUUUAGUAAGGCAAAAGAUCCGUAAGAUAUUACACGCAUGCUACUGUAAAAGGCCGGUAGAAUAGUUGAAAACAAUUAGCAACUAGUGUGCAGUUUUGGGAAAACAAAUCGAGCCAGAAAGGAGUAGUAAUAAGAACAAACCCAUUCACAAAUAACCAUCUUCCAUCUAAAUGGGUGUAUACUCAGUAGAAUAUCUGGAACACGCAAUAAACACACAAAAGAGACAUCAUCUAUCUUCCCAACAAAAUCCAUUCAUUGGGUAGGGUGAAGUGGUUGAUGAGUUGAAAAUCUGGGAACACACAAUCUUAGAAACCACAAGAUAUGGUAACCACCUCUAGAAAAGUACAUUUAGAGAAUCAAGACACGAAGUUUCUGACCUUCAUAGUUCACGACACCUGAAUCCAUAAAACACUAGAAGCUCCACAUUCAUCCUUGACAAGACAACGCACAAAGCUUGAAACACGCCUGGAUGUACUGAUAGAGGAGACUAGACAAACAGGUAGAAACUAACAGACUAGACUACUUAAUAGACAAAUAGAAAAAAGAAGAGCAAACCCUUAUGUUAUGAUCAAGAUUUCAUCUGAAUGUCUGUAGGGUAAAUUGAUUUGUGAAACCAGAUCUGGAAACACAAAGAAGACAAAUAAAAACUUCCCACAAUAACCAACACUAAAUAAAAAUAACCAGUAGGAAAGAAGGGUGUAACCAAGAACUCCAAACCAUCAAUCCCUUCCACAAAUCGAUUUCUUUCUCGUUGAGUAACAUAGUAUGAUCCUUCAUAUAUACUGAGAAAGAGAGAGCAAUUCACGGAAAGAAAAUAAAUAUAGCACGAGAAAACAGAGAAACCUAAACCGAGGAAAGAAGAUUGAUCAUGAUCCUCAGAGACAUCCCAUUGCUCCUCCAUGUUCUCUACCAAAACGAAGGAAAACAUGUUUCGCUUAAGGUAGUAAAGACAAACCAGCUAGUGUAAAAAAGAAAUCAAAAAUAGUAAAAAGUAACAAGAGAGAAGCCCUGAUAAACUGCCAACGCGCUGGAACAAACCAAAACAGCCAUCACGGGCAAAGCAAGCAUCCUCCACAAGCUAAAACAACAAAACGAGAGUAGAUCACGUGUAACAAAAAAGGCCACGGAUGCAAUCUAGAAGAAACCAAACCUCGGAAAUAGAUGAGAGAAAGACCCCUGAAGACGUAGCGUAGAGAAACACCGAUCAAUCAGAACAUCUUCCACAAGAAAAGCUAACCGAUGGAAUCUCGAAACUGAACGCUUGAAUAAACAAACAAUCCGUGAAAAGUGAACAAACUGGCGUAGGAACGUUGAUCUGUCCAAGAGAUCGUUUUAAGACUGUCAAAGAUCACUGUCCAAAACAAAACGUUUCCAUAUAUAAAAAGGAGCAGCAAAAACUCAGAAGAACCUUAAUGUUGAUGUCGGGGAGAAAGUAGACCACCCCCAGAGACAAAAAUAGUCAUGUGUGAAAUAAGAAAAUAAGGAUAGAAAGAAAGAAUGCAUAACCAUUAAUUGUUAACCGAUCUAGCCAUCAAACAGCUGGGAGAUAACCAUCAAACAUCAUUCACGGAUCAACAGAGGCGUAACAACAACCAUGUGGAAGCCUGAAACAGCCCUGGAUGUACUGAUACAGGAGACUAUGCACGAACAGGUCGAAACAGAGUCAUCCAAAAUAAACUGAAUUCAAAGAGAAAGGAGAGGCUACCAUCUUGAGCAGAAGUGAUUUGCAUUCAGUCCAUAGAAUAGAUGCACAGACUGUAAAAUCAAAAAAGGGCAAAGAGAUAAGGACGAAGGAAACUUGAUCGCAUCUUUAUAGUAACCAAAAAGAGGGAAAAGUCAUAGAGAAGACUGUAUAGAUCAAGAGCCAUCCAACGAAGCAAGUAAAUCAAAACGGGAAAGAAGGUAGAUCAGAGCCACCGCCAUUGCUUUUCUCUCUUGGAGCCUCCAUGUUCUAAAUCAAAACGAGAAAACAUGCUUCGGUGAAGACAGGAGAAAAGACCGGCUUCAGUGACGAGGAAAUUAAAAGUAGGAAAAAAAGAAAAAGACAUAUGCCCUUCUACACGCGUGAAAGAGGAUCAACCCUAACAAUAUCAUCAUCGACCAAAGCAAGCAUCCUCCACAAUCUAAAACAACGAGAAGUAGAUUGAAUGAACAGAAAAGCCACCGAUGUAAAUUCAUAUAUAGAAGAUAAGUAACUGUGGUUAGGAGGAAGAAGGAACAAUUAGUAGUCCUGCUUUAUUCUUUUUGAAAUCGCAUCCAACUGUAACAUAGACGAGAGAGCUUUCCUCAAAACAUUUCAAAAUCUAUACAAGCUUAAAUAAUUGAUAGAACUGACAAUCUUUAAGACUACUUUAAUAGACAGAGUGGAGUAAUAAUCCAUCUUGGAAACAGCAAAAGAAGAACAAACCCAACUGUUACGAUCCGUCUUUCAUCUGGACGUGUGUAGACCGCAGAAGAACAGAGUGAGUUGAUUAGUUAAAGCAGAUCUGUAAAAAAUAGAAGACACAUCAUACCUCCCCCCACAAUAGCCAAUACUAUACAAAAAUAAUCCAUAGGCUAAAAAGAUUUAAUUUAACCAAGAACUAGGAAUCAUACGCAGAACAUCAUUCCCUUCCACAAAACGAAUUAUUUCUCGUAGACGCUCCAAAUAAAGUCAUCCUUAUUGUGUUUAAGAUAGAAACUAAAGUCAAGGUAACAUAGAAACACUGAAUACAAGGGUAACAAGAAUCUGCCAGAAAGGUAAACAAACCAUCCUUUUAGCAAAGAGGAAGCAGAGAAACCUAAAACCGGGAAGAAGAUUGAUCAGGAGCCAUCCAGAUUGCCUUUCUCUCUUCGAGCCUUAUUGUUCUAUACCAAAACGAAAACAUGUUUCGCUUAAGAAAGGGAAAAAAAAAGACCGGCUUGUGUAAUAAGGGAAUUUAAAAUUAGGAAAAAGGACAAAAGGCCUGUAGUAAACGCGUGAAGAACGAUCAACCAAGAACAGCCAUCAUCGAUCAAGAGCAAGCAUCUGUCACAAAUCUAAAGCAACAAAACGGAAAGUAGAUCACAUGGAACUUAGAAGCGGCAACGAUGAUCGAAUCACAUCUGUUACCAUCCGUCUUUCAUCUGAAUAUGUGUACACUGAUCUGGACAACACGGAGGACACAUCAUACCUCUCCACAAUAACCAAUACUCAACAAAACAUAUAAUCUGUAGGUGAAAAAACUCGAGAUCAUACGCAAAACAUUGUUCCCUUCCUCGGUCUAAGAUAGAAGAUCAUCCUCCUCGACACACACCUAUAACCAAGGAGAGAGUAAUUCUCAUGGGGGAGCAUGAGAAAACAGAGAAACCUAUUCAGAGCUGUCCCGAUUGCUUCUCUCUUAGAGCCUCCAUGUUCUAUAUCAACACGAAAUAACAUGGUUUUGCUUUCAGACAGGACAGCCUUGUGUUAUAAGAAGUUUUUUUUGAAAAAAAAAAAAGGAAAAAGAGAGAAGCCUUGCUAAACCGCCAAAAGAGAAAACCCUUGAAGAGCGAUCAAGCCUAAACAAGACGACAAGUAGAUCACAUGGAACUCGGAAGCGGCAACGAUGAUAACGUAAGGAACGAAAGAGAUUAGAGAAACCCCUGAAGACUUAGCGUAGAGAAAACGCGUGGAAGAGAAUCAAUCAAGAAUCAUCCGUGAGAAGUGAAAACCCUAACGAUGAUCGGUCCAAGAAAUCGCGUUGAAACAUCCUCCUGCGAGACGACGUAGAUAACACAAAACACGUAAGGCAGAAAACAAAAGACAAGAGACGCGUUCAGAAGAAUAUCACCCGCGAUUACGCGUCUGAGAGGAGAUGAGAAUUCUCAAAGAG